UAGGGAAUCUUCCACAAUGGGCGAAAGCCUGAUGGAGCAACGCCGCGUGAGCGAAGAAGGUCUUCGGAUCGUAAAGCUCUGUUGUAAGGGAAGAACAAGUGCAGUAGUAACUGCCUGCACCCUGACGGUACCUUACUAGAAAGCCACGGCUAACUACGUGCCAGCAGCCGCGGUAAUACGUAGGUGGCAAGCGUUGUCCGGAAUUAUUGGGCGUAAAGCGCGCGCAGGCGGUUUCUUAAGUCUGAUGUGAAAGCCCCCGGCUUAACCGGGGAGGGUCAUUGGAAACUGGGAGACUUGAGUGCAGGAGAGGGAAGCGGAAUUCCAUGUGUAGCGGUGAAAUGCGUAGAGAUAUGGAGGAACACCAGUGGCGAAGGCGGCUUCCUGGCCUGUAACUGACGCUGAGGCGCGAAAGCGUGGGGAGCAAACAGG
rnacentral:rRNA from 2 species